UACGGGGGGGGCAAGCGUUGUUCGGAAUUACUGGGCGUAAAGGGCUCGUAGGCGGCCAACUAAGUCAGACGUGAAAUCCCUCGGCUUAACCGGGGAACUGCGUCUGAUACUGGAUGGCUUGAGUUCGGGAGAGGGAUGCGGAAUUCCAGGUGUAGCGGUGAAAUGCGUGGAUAUCUGGAGGAACACCGGUGGCGAAGGCGGCAUCCUGGACCGACACUGACGCUGAGGAGCGAAAGCCAGGGGAGCAAACGGG
rnacentral:rRNA from 1 species